UCUAAUACCGGAUACAACCGCUGACCGCAUGGUCGGGCGGUGGAAAGCUCCGGCGGUGCAGGAUGAGCCCGCGGCCUAUCAGCUUGUUGGUGAGGUAAUGGCUCACCAAGGCGACGACGGG
rnacentral:rRNA from 1 species